rnacentral:rRNA from 1 species
CCUGCCCGCUGAUUAAUUGAAUGGCCGCAGUAAUUUGACUGUGCAAAGGUAGCAUAAUCAUUAGUUUUUUAAUUAAAAGCUUGUAUGAAGGGUUGGACGAGGUAAAAUCUGUCUUUAUUUAAUUUAAAUUAGAAUUUAAUUUUUAAGUUAAAAAGCUUAAAUUUUUGUAAAAGACGAGAAGACCCUAUAGAUCUUUAUAUUAUUUUAAAUAAUUUUAUUAAGGAAUAUUAUAUUUUUUAUUUAUUGUAUUAUUUUAUUGGGGUAAUAAAAAGAUUAGAUGAAUUCUUUUUUAUAUUUAAUAUUAAUUAAUAGAUUUAUGAUCCAAUAUUUUUGAUUAUAAGAUUAAGUUACCUUAGGGAUAACAGCGUAAUUUUUUUAGAGAGUUCUUAUCGAUAAAAAAGUUUGCGACCUCGAUGUUGGAUUAAAAAUUAUUC